rnacentral:ncRNA from 2 species
AUUUAAUAAUUCGGGAGCUCAUAUAUGGGCUGAGAGGAAACUGAGAGUUUCGACCGUACCUGAUUUGGAUAAUGCCAACGUAGGGAAGCGACAUGAAAGAUUG